GUCAUUUGUUGUCCCCACAGCGUCGCCUAUUCCUCUCGAGCCUCCCAUGCCGGCCGCCGCCCCUCGUCACCGCUCCCCUGCGACCAACUCCUUUGCACGGCUGCGACCUACCUGCAUCCUAACGCGCCGCCCCUCACCACUCCACUGCGAUCCUCCGUCCUGGCUCGCCGCACCUUGCCACAACCCUACGAUCCUCCAUCCGGACGCUCCAUCGCUCGUCACCACUCCCCUGCUGCCCUGCAUACAGGUGCGCCGCCCCUCGUGAUGGCACUCCUGCAACCAACGGCGAAUCUAAGUACUAUGCAUGUAAACGCCGUCCGAAUUGGCACGACGAGUCAGAGAGGAAAGCAGGGCAGGACCUGAGCAUGCUUACUAAUAGGACUGGAUGGAUACUGCUGCCACCGAUCUCAUUCUAGAUUGGUGCUUCUUUUCCUUUCUAAAAUAAAAGUUGAUCUUUGAGUUAUGUUAGUCAGAUAUGAUUAUUAUGCCAGACUAUAUCAUCAGCAAGGUGUUUUUAGUACCAAAUGAUGAAUAUUUCAACCACUAUUUGGCGUACUAUGUACUCAUGAAAUACACUCCAAGGAAACAAGCGCCUACAAAUUGUCCCUCUAAAAUUAAGUUAGGUAUGUGGCAUGCAAGUAGAGGAGAGGAUGAACUUGAGAAUUACCAAUUUUGCCUCAUAUUUGAACUGAUAAGAUGCAAGAAAUAAAUGGAUGAUUAUAUGGGUGUGUGAAGAUGGUGAUGCUCCUGUCCAUGAUGAUGAUGAUGAUGAUGAUGAUGAUGGAUGCUUUUAUUGUUCGUUAAGUUGUAGGGAUGUUCAUUUUGGGUGAUGGGUGAUGUUCCUCGGUUAAGUUUUAGAUAAGUUGUAGGGAUGUUGAUGGAUGCUUUCGGUUGAACUUUCGAUGUGUAGAAAAUAUUUAGAUUAUGCAUCACAUUCUGAUGAUGUUCCUCUUGUAAUAUCCAAUAUUGUAACCCACAAUUUUAUCAAAUAUAUGAUUUCUUCAUUAUA